UUGUCAGUGAGGCAUGUCCUUACCUGUUACUUCAGAAAUGAAGUUGCAGAACAUGAUGAAUGGAAUAUAAUGAGAGAUUAUUAUAUCGCCUGCAACACCCCUUUUGCUCCGUUCUGAU